UACCGAGGGGGCAAGCGUUGUUCGGAAUUACUGGGCGUAAAGGGCGCGUAGGCGGCCUUCUUAGUCGAACGUGAAAUCCCCGGGCUCAACCCGGGAACUGCGUCCGAUACUGGAAGGCUCGAAUCCGGGAGAGGGAUGUGGAAUUCCAGGUGUAGCGGUGAAAUGCGUAGAUAUCUGGAGGAACACCGGUGGCGAAGGCGACAUCCUGGACCGGUAUUGACGCUGAGGCGCGAAAGCCAGGGGAGCAAACGGG
rnacentral:rRNA from 1 species